AAUUUGUGUUUUGCACCAACUAUUAUACAAAAAUACUUUUGACGGCAACAUUUAAUAAAAUUAUUAGCAAUUUGGCAACAUAUUGUUGAGAAGAGUGGACAUGAAUGUGAUUGUCAGCAAAAAGCAACUGAACCCCGCUUCAGUAUGAAUCGUGGAUGCCCAACUUAAAAAUACACUAGCUAAUGUGCUUUGCGUGCCAGGAAGUUGAUGUUAUAAGGAACAUUCUCAUCGAAACCAUAGCAGUGGGCAGGACAGCUUUUACAGAGCUGGAGUUUUUAAUGAUCUUGUAAAGAGUGCACUGGUUGAGGCUGCUGUCUUUAAGUUGACUCUCGAUGGAGACAGACACUCUCUUCGUCCAUUUUCCGUAUAGAAGCUCUUUUCAAGCUGAUAUAUAUACUUCAAAGAGCUACCGAAAAGUACAACAAAAAUUUUGUUUGUGUUAUGACUUUAUUCAUCCAGUAUCCUGCUUAAUAUAAUGGAAUAACAAAGCUACAGUAUUUUUGCUUAUUAUUUCAAUUAAGAUUAUAUGUAGUUUG